rnacentral:rRNA from 1 species
UACGAGGGGGGCAAGCGUUGUUCGGAAUUAUUGGGCGUAAAGGGCGCGUAGGCGGUGCGGUAAGUCUGAUGUGAAAUCUCCGGGCUCAACUCGGAGUCUGCAUCAGAAACUGCCGUGCUUGAGUGUGGGAGAGGUGAGUGGAAUUCCCGGUGUAGCGGUGAAAUGCGCAGAUAUCAGGAAGAACACCCGUGGCGAAGGCGGCUCUCUGGGACGGUACUGACGCUGAGACGCGAAAGCGUGGGGAGCGAACAGG